rfam:Cephalotus follicularis DNA, scaffold: scaffold48, isolate: St1.
AAACCAUGAUGAGGACACUCUAAGAUAAGGUCUUUAAAACGCUCCAUACAUAGAGGAAAUGAUUCAUUUGGACGUAGGCAAAACUGGAGAAUGUCGUUCCUAAGUUU